AAAAACUAUUUUUUGAAAAACCAAACACUCCUAAAAUUCCAACAAUAACAACUUUAAGGUUAGGAACAUAACUCAGCAAAUCAGUUAAUUAGAGGCGCAUUAUGUGUGCCUCAUAAUUACGUAAAUCAAAAGAAAGUCGUGCAUGGCCCAUAAUUGGGUAAUGCUAAUAAUGAUAGGAAUUCUAUAGACCGACAAAGCGCACCUGGGUAGGCCAAUGCUGAAGCCAAAACUCUGAGAAACUCAUGCGUAGACCAUGUCGACCAAAUCAGCCGUAGACCAUCCAAACUCCGCCGCCUUAUUCUGCGGAUCCAAACAAAUUAACAUAAACUUGUUCUGCACAAAUAUAUUUUAAAAAUAUUCGUCCCUACUUUUUUUUUUUUCGAAACAACUAGCAUUAGAACACGAUAAAUUUAAGAUUGUAAAGAUUGAUUUACAUAUCUUCAAGUUAUCCAUAAAUCUUCUAAUGCUCCAAAUCCGUAAUAAAUCAAACUCUUAAAUCUAGAAUCCAACAUUCACAUUCUAAAAGUAAUAAGUUAAUAAAAAAAAUAAUAUUUUGCUCUCUUACAACACAGCGCACAAAUUUCUCAAAAACUUAUAAAUAUGAAUAUAUUUUUUAUUUUUUUUGUACAUCUUUAUAAAAUAAUUGUCGGAUCCCAACACCCUAAUAAAUAAAUAAAAGAUUAAACCGAAUCAAUUUAUACAUCUUUAUAAGAGAAUUGUUGGAUCCCAACACCCUAAUAAAUAAAUAAAUAAAUAAAUAAAUAAGAGAUUAGACCUAAUCAAUUUAAUUACUAUCCUAAUAUUGUUAGAAUAUUAUCUUUAAUCAACUAUCUAAAUUAAAAAUAAAAUUAAUUUUAGUCCAAUUAGAUAAUAUAACAACCGUCGUAUCGAACCCAAUUGCCAAAACAAACAAAUUGAUAAAAACUUUUUACACACAAAUAUAUUUCAAAUCAUUAAUCAAGAUCUACAAACCUAGAAAAACAAGCAACGGUUGGAUCAAAAGCUAAAAAUAGGAUGGACGGAGAUGGGUGAACGGUCCACGGAUGAUGCGGCGGACCCUGCCCAGGUAACAUUUACCGAAAAGUUCGUCCCCUACGCGUAGACGGUCACAGACCCAGAUAUUUCUCUCCGCCCUCCACCACCAAUCCCCAACACCCCUUCCCUACGCCAAGCCGCCGUCUUAGCCCACUAAUUAUUACAUUUUGAACAAAUCAAUAUAAAACUCCCACAUGAUUCGUCUUUUAUUACCCCUCCCUCGCAUUCUCUUUCCCGUUCCCCUUGUUAUAAAUAUAGCUGUCCUACCCUCUGUCCCCCACGUUUUCCCCAAAAAAUACUCGCCCGAGCUAAAACUAUAAACCUCACCCGUCCUCUCCUUUUCGAUCCCUCUUCUCUUCCUAAUUCCGACCUCUCAUUUUCCCGAUAUAAUUAUAAUAAUAAUAAUUUUAAAUUUUAAAACUUUUAAUUUAAUAGGUGGUGCACUUAUUAAUUAUACCUAGUCGAUCGUUGUCGGAGCAGGAGGAAAAGCGAGGGGGAAGGGAAGGGGGGGGGGAUGAGAGGGAUAACGUACUGGCUCGCGGAGCACCCGGCCAUCGUGGGGUUCCGGUGGAGCCACGCGCAGUCGUGGGGCUCGACGUGGUCGUUCCUCAUCUCCUCCCUGGCGCUCUGUGUCGUGGCGGCGGCCGCCCUCCACCUCGCCCUCUGCGUCCUCCUCCGGC
rnacentral:lncRNA from 1 species